CAUAUAAACUCUGUUGAGCUCUACUUCGCACUUUUGGUCCUUCUUUUAUGUUGUGAGAGCACUGCUCGGUCAAAGUUUACUUGUUGGAGAUAUAAUUUCCAAGGGACUCCACAUCUAUUCGUAAUUUUUCAAUUUAAAAAAACUAAAAAUGGAAACUCAACGGUCUUCAGGAGGGUUAUUACCUUGAAAAUUAUAACAGUAAUGCAAAAUCUUAUAAUUCAAAAUAGUUAUACUGGCCGCCGUGUGGAUUUCACUUUGGCAUAUUACCAAUUUUUCAAAUUCUCCAACUUUUAAAACCCCAAAAAACUUCCGGCAACCAACAAUUCAAGCAAAUUAGUUAAAUUGCUUCUUCCAAAAAUUGAACUUUGCAAAAAAUUGUGGAAAAAAUAGUUUGUUAUAGAUGGCAUUUUCAUUGUAAAUAUAAUUUAUUUUUAGGGUUAAGUAAUUUUCAAAUGGCACAUAAUGAUUAGACGUUAUUUCAUUUUUGCUGUAAAAAAAAAAAUGCCAGUAACGUGAAUAUUUCCCAUUCAUCGAGCAUUUUUAGAAGGAAAUUAGUGUUUACUUCGUAAUCAUCAACACGAGUCCACGUUGUAAAAUUAUACAUCGUGGUGAAAGGAGUCUCACUUCUAUUUAAUACUAUUUACAUUCAAAAGCGGGUUUUAAAAUGACGUACACUUUUGCAGAAAACAAAUCACUAAAAAUUGCAGAAGAUUUUGUAACCACUACUGAGCGUAAGGUGAUUUUAAAGAAAUUUUUGUUCAUACUGUACAAAUUAUAAGAUUUUAGGAUUUCCUAAGCAAAGCAAUAAGAUGUAAACACAUUUUUUUAUGAAAAAUUCCCCCAAAGGUAUUUUUUAAUAUCAUUGGAACUAACAUUGAAUUUUAGAAAAAAUCAAAAUAUUGGUUAGAAUAUUAAGGAACACCGGUAUUACAUAUUUUCCUGUAGAAAUUGGGCAGAAUUGAAUGUAGGCCACGAUAUUUCAUAUUAUGAAACAGAGGCACUCUCGCAUGUUGUUGUCUCCCAAACGAAGGAACGUAACUUCAUCCCAAGGUUGCAUAAUUGACUCAAAUAACUCAAUUUUUUACAAGAGUGUACCUGUGAAAUUUUGAUCAAAAUUUGUCUGAUCUCCGCGUGAGAUCAGUACAAAAAUCAGUGAAAUUUUCAAUCAGAAAUGUCUCAAGAUUCUUCUAAUAAACAUGUUGUUUUAGAAUGAAAUUUGGUAGCAUUGAAAUAAACUUACGUCCUUUUGUGAGGGAAAUGACAAUAAGUGCAAGCACAUAAUUAUUCACACAACACUGAACCCAUAUCUUCCAUACGUGAUUGCUUCGUUCAUCCACUCAGUUGUAAAUGUAAGUCACUAAGAUAUAAGGUCAGUGAAUGAGGGUCGAAUGAAAAUGCAUCAACCCGUUAGAUGAGAAUUAAAUCUGUAGACCAAUCGCGGAGAGCAAUUUAUAGUAAUUAAAAGGUUGUAAAUGAGAGCUGGUGUGAAAGCACUACCAUACGCCCACCAUUUUAUUCCUCUCCUCACCGGAUGGACAAUCGCUCGUUCAAUAGUAUGUGCCCCACUGCCUCAGAGAGAAUGAAGCUACUUGUAUGAGCUACUUUCACGUCUUCAGCUCGAAAUAUUAUCAUCAAAUGAAUCUAGCUAUUAAAAUAAUAAUUGAAUCGACAUCAGAGCAUUUGAAAAAUGUGCAAAUGUACACAAGCUUCAUAGGGUCUACAUACAAUAUCUUCAAUUAAAUUUAUGUCUUCCAUUGGAGAGCUUGACUCGCUCAUUUGAUCAUGUCUUUCCUUCCGGAAAGGAGAUUCAAUCCUUUUCUCUAAUUUUUAUUUAUUUAUUACUAAGAUAAGACUGUAACUUGUAAAUAGUGUAAAUUCAGUGAUAAUGUUAAUUUAAGUCAAAUGUAAAAACCAAAUUCAAAGAAAAUCAAAAUCAAGGAUUCAUUAUAAGUUAAACGAUAAGUUUGUUCAAUUUCUAUAAUAUUUUAAGUACUCGCAGAUAAAUUUUGACGAUAGAAUUUGCUAGAAAUAAUUUUGCGGGAAGGUAAUUCUUGUAAAAUUGAUGUCACAAAUUUUAAAUUUUGGUGCUUGAUGCUUAACGCUGAACCGAUAUGCCGUCAAAUUGAGCUUUAUAUUUUUCAUGUAAAAUACAAAAAAAUUUAUUUUAUAUUUUGUAAUGAGUAUCUCAUAAUAAGUGAUUUUUGAAGAAAUUAAAAUGUUCCAAAUCAAAAUAUGAAUAGUUUCCUUUUUUUAAUAAUUCCCAGUCAAGUUCUGCCUCAGUUAUGUUGCUUAUGUAAGUUUCAGGCCCUUCGAUGAAAACUAUAGUGGCAUAAUUUGCAGAAGUCAGCAAUGAUAGGUAUACUCUGUCUUUUCUUAAGAGGGGACACGUCCUGCGUCUCUCCCACGUAAAACAAAAAAAAUAUUGGCUAAUUACACGUGGCUAAAAUUAUUAAUAGGUAUUAAAAAUCGGUUGCACAUAAAAUAAAUAAAAUCGGACUAGUUUUAAAAGCUUUCUUUCUCAGUCGGUGUUCACGGAAAACCGACUGAGUUUAAAUAGUUAGUCAGUGAGUUUUAAUAGUGUUUAAUAUUUUAGCAUCUUGUGCAAUCCGUUUUACUGAAAAAUAAUUAACGAAGAAUUUCAUAACAUUUUACAUUAACUUUCCUCCAAUAUUCUUACACAAGGACAAAAAUAUGAAUAUUGUGGUAAACUGGAAUUAUUUAGUACAUUUUGGCAGCGAUUGAUUUAUUUUUCGUUCAGUUCUUAAAUUGGCAUUGAUGCAUCGAACUGUUUCUUUAUAAAGUUUGCGUGACAGUCACGUUAUGGCCCGUCCCGUAUUUCAUAGCUAUUCCAAACGUUCUUUAGACGGCGCGUAACCAGCAAGCAACAGUUUUGAGAGGCCGAACUAAGCGCCUUCAAAUAGGUGAGUAUGCAACGAGCGUAUGAUUGAUAAUUGAAUAGUUGCUCGUCGACGUUUUUGGAACUAAUUAAUAAAGCAGACUAAUUAGAGCCAUCGUAAUUUUAUAUAACCCAUCAGCCCUGAAAAGAAUGCGCAUCAUAUAAAUGAUGCAAUAAGUAAAAUUUGUGUAUUACUGAUUAAAGAAUAAAAUAAAAGUCUGUUACUCUACGACUUUCUCUACUUCUUCAAUUCGCCGUUUGAUCAAAAUUGUUGAUUGUUAAUUAGAUGAUUUCAAAAGAAAUACAGAAACAGCUCCAACUAAUA
rnacentral:lncRNA from 1 species